UACGAGGGGGGCAAGUGUUGUUCGGAAUCACUGGGCGUAAAGCGUGCGCAGGCGGUUCGUUGUGUCGGUGGUGAAAGCCCCGGGCUUAACCUGGGAAUGGCCAUGGAAACUGGCGAACUGGAGUGUGGCAGAGGGGGGUGGAAUUCCGCGUGUAGCGGUGAAAUGCGUAGAGAUCGGGAGGAACAUCAGUGGCGAAGGCGGCCAUCUGGGACAACACUGACGCUGAAGCACGAAAGCGUGGGGAGCAAACAGG
rnacentral:rRNA from 1 species